UUCAUUCCUCACAGUACCCAUUCAUUAGAAAGUUAAACACAUCUUUGAUCCAGAAAAAGAAAGAAAGUAAACACAUCAUGGGCUUCAAGUCUUUUGCUUCUAGCAUUGUCAAGUUUAUCGUUGCCGUUGCUGUUACCGUUCUUUUAAUAGAAGCACAACCAGUGGCGAUGCCAAGAGGUUAUGCAAACUAUAACGCGGGCGGGAAUCCGGGAGGUUAUGCAAACUAUAACACGGGCGGGAAUCCCCGAGGUUAUGCAAACAAUAACGCGGGCAGGAACCGUGAUCCGCGGGCACGACGGGGAUCUUGCAACAUAUGUGGCAACCCUCCUCAGAUAUGUAUCUGCGUCUCCAUAUGAUUAUAACCAAAAUUUCUGGUGCUUGUGAGUUUAUUUGUCUUUUCUCUUCUGCUUAUUUAUAUUAAAUAAGUUUUGUCACUUCUCGUGAGUGUAAGCUUAUGGCAUGUAAACUUUUAUGUGCGACCUAUUCCGAGCAGUGUGUGUUUGGCAUGCUGAAAAUAUUAAAAAAUGUGUCUAAAUGGAAUCGUGGGCAUCACAUAUGAGGCUAUAAUUUGGAGUCCCAACUAUAUACGUUCAACGUGUAA